rnacentral:rRNA from 1 species
AACUGAACCAUCUAAGUACCCGCAGGAAAAGAAAUCAAAAGAGAUUCCCUUAGUAGUGGCGAACGAACGGGGAAGAGCCUAAACCGUUAAUGUGUAAGUGUCGAUACGUUGCAUUGGCGGGGUUGUGAGGAUAUAUCUUAGUACAGAUCGACCUGUGCUGCGCAGUUACAAAGGGUUAUGGGAGUAGAAUUGUCUGGAAAGUCAAGCCAAAGCAGGUGAAAGCCCAGUAUACGAACUAUAAUCUCUGCGUGAUAUGUUACUCGAGUACAGCGGGACACGCGAAAUCCUGUUGGAAUCAGGGGGGACCACCCUCCAAGGCUAAAUACUUCAUAGCUACCGAUAGCGCAUAGUACCGUGAGGGAAAGGUGAAAAGGACCCCGGGAGGGGAGUGAAAUAGAACCUGAAACCGUAGACUUACAAGCAGUCAGAGCUGGUGUGUAUUUUAUAUAUGCUGGUGAUGGCGUGCCUUUUGUAGAAUGAGCCUGCGAGUUACCGUAUGUAGCGAGGUUAAGGGAUAGGAGUCCUGGAGCCGUAGGGAAACCGAGUCUGAAAUGGGCGUUUAGUUACAUGUGGUAGACCCGAAACCAAGUGAUCUAUCCAUGUCCAGGUUGAAACCUGAGUAAAAUCAGGUGGAGGACCGAACCUAAAUCCGCUGAAAAGGGUUGGGAUGAGGUGUGGAUUGGAGUGAAAGGCUAAACAAACUUGGAGAUAGCUGGCACUCCCCGAAAUAGCUUUAGGGCUAGCCUUACGGGAAUUGUCGCGGAGGUAGAGCACUGAAUGGAUGCGGGCCCUUCACCGGGUACCAAGUUCAACCAAACUCCGAAUGCCGCCGACAUAAUCUGUUGGAGUCAGACUACGGCUGAUAAGGGCCGUGGUCGAGAGGGAAAGAGCCCAGACCGUCAGCUAAGGUCCCCAAGAUACGCCAAGUGGGAAAGGAAGUUCGAUUGCGAAGACAGCCAGGAGGUUGGCUUAGAAGCAGCCACUCCUUAAAAGAGUGCGUAAUAGCUCACUGGUCGAGUAGUCGAGCGCCGAUAAUGUAACGGGGCUAAGCGUAUCACCGAAGCUACGGCAUAGUGCAUUUAUUUGUACUGUGGGUAGGGGAGCAUUCCGUGUACGGCUGAAGGUUAACUGAGAGGUUAGCUGGACGGGACGGAAGAGAGAAUGCAGGCAUGAGUAACGAAAAGACGGGUGAAAUUCCCGUCCGCCGAAAGCCUAAGGUUUCCAGGGUAAAGGUCAUCUGCCCAAGGGUUAGUCGGCCCCUAAGACGAGGCUGAAGAGCGUAGUCGAUGGGAAACGGGUUAAUAUUCCCGUACCUCUUUGUGUUUCGAAGGAAUGAAGCAUAGGGUGAAGCGCGUCCGGGCGAUGGUAGUCCCGGUCUAAGCGUUAAGCUGUUGAAGCUACUAGGCAAAUCCGGUAGCUGAGGUGAGACGUGAAAGCGAGUGAUGCUACGGCAAAGCGAAGCGCGUGUAGUCGUCGUGCCAAGAAAUAGUUUCUAAGGUAAGACACAGAGGGACCGUACCGUAAACCGACACAGGUAGGCGAGCUGAAUAUGCUAAGGCGCUCGGAAGAAUUCGCGUUAAGGAACUCGGCAAAUUGCAUACGUAACUUCGGGAUAAGUAUGGCCAUUGGGGGAUUAUAUUUAUAUAGUUUCUUGGUGGUUGCAGUGAAAUGGCCCAAGCGACUGUUUACCAAAAACACAAGUCUAUGCGAACCAGCAAUGGGAAGUAUAUGGACUGACACCUGCCCGGUGCUGGAAGGUUAAGAGGAGCUGUUAGCUUUUAUUAGCGAAGCAGUGAAUUGAAGCCCCAGUAAACGGCGGCCGUAACUAUAACGGUCCUAAGGUAGCGAAAUUCCUUGUCGGGUAAGUUCCGACCCGCACGAAAGGUGUAACGAUUUGG